AUUUCAUGUUGUGGACAUUUAAUGACAAGCUUAUUAAAUCGUUCCCAAUAUUCAUAGAGUAUUUCAUCUAAUUAUUGUUUGAUGCCACAUAUUUCCUUCUUCAGAAU